rnacentral:tRNA from 1 species
UGCGGGGUAGAGUAACGGCCACUCGAGAGUCUCAUAAGCUCACCAACCGGGUUCGAUUCCCGGCCCCGCAACCA